CUAAGGCAGGUUUGAGGGUAAUGAAAGGGUGUUUUUCCCAGUCCUUUCUCCUAGCUGAGCUAGCAGAGAUGCUCAUCAGGUGCCUAAUUAAUGAGGCCAGCAGAAAUGUGGGAAGUCUAGAUAUAAGGAAAGGAAACAGAAUAGUCUAGUCUGGGCUCACCCAGGAAAACAGCAUGUCGCUGUAGGGGGAGACACAUGGACCCUGUUGAGGAAACACACAGCAGGAGCUGUGAGUGGUCCAAGAAGUGGUGUGAACUGUGAGUAAAACAGGUUGCAGGGGCACAUGUUUUAUGCUGGCUGAGGGUAGCUCACCAGUUAGUAGUCAGGGCAUGCUUACAUGUGUAGUCAGUGACCAGACGGUCUAGGACUUCGGUUUGUUCCUGAGUUAUAUUUUGUUUUACCUGUAACCUGUGUAAAUAAAGCUCGUGAGGUGCCAGACUUGUAUGCUUAACGGUUGUCUGGCGAGUUAUUGCGAGGAAACGUGUCCCGUGGUAAGUGACCAGGACGAUCCCAGAGCUAAUCCCCGAGACGGAAUGUCACAAUAUAUAUGUACAUAUAUCUAUACACAUACAUAAAUACAAAUAUAUAUACACACAUAUACAUAUAUAUACACACAUACAUAUAUAUAUAUGCAUACAUAUUUAUUUAUACAUAUAUGUACAUUCAUAUAUACAUACAAAUACAUAUUUAUAUAUAUAUAUCCAAAAUAAAGUGUCCCACAGCACUCCAGUUAGAUGAAAAAUCAAAGGUGAUUUAUUUUCUCAUAUGUGGCGAGCAACGUUUUGACUGUCUGCACAGUCUUUAUCAAGCAUGUAUAUGUACAUGUAUAUACAUACACAUAUCUAUAUAUAUAUAUAUAUAUACAUAUAUAUAUAUAUUUCCUCAUCGUCCCCUACGGCAGCACAGAAGGGUAAUGCGGUCUCCAGACCACCCACCAGGACCGCCCAUCUAGAUAUUAGCAUAAAUAAUUAUUUUAAUUAACCAAGGUACCAUACCUAUAAAACAACCCCGCAAACUCCCGCACGCUGCCCAUCUAUUCAAGAUUUUGUACAGCCCUGCAGGGUCUUGGCUGCAUCUAUGUCCGUGAGUAUAUGCCAGUGCGGGGUCCUGGCUCUGUCCUGCCACGGUCUGUCGGCGGCAUGGCAGGACUAUAGCCAGUGCGGGAUCCUGGCUUUUAGGAGGUUCCAGUGCGGGGUCCUGGUCUCCGUUAACGGCAGUGUGUUCCAGAGGAAAGAUUGCCGGUGAAGUAUCCUAGCCGUUAUACUCAUGUCUGCUGCCUGCCGCCGCCGCCUAAAGAGGGAUGCUGCGCUGCGCUGUAAGUCUCUGGACCACGGUAAGUGUCAGCCGCUCUCCGGCUUAAUUAUUAUUUGUGAUCAGGGCUUACACAUUCGUGCUCGUGAUAACCAUGAUAUAUAUUUACUUGUAAUGUACACAUUAUAACCUUUAACAUAUCGGUCUGGAGUGUCCCCAAUGACCGCGACAGAGGCCACACCUUUAGAGGGCAUGCCCUGUAAUAUAUGAAAUGAAGAAAUGAAAAGAUGGAAAAAAGAGAGGGAGGGUUGGGAGGGGUCCUCAAAAUGUCACGAACGCCACCUGAUAGGGGGCAGGGGCUAUAUAUAUAUCCCUGCCCCCGCCCACAACCCCUUAUGUGCCACCUUGAUGUGUAGGGGGGUUGGAGAUGUUACCGCCCAUAUCACAAAUACAGCCUAAUUAGGCUUUACACUUGUGAUCAGGGCUUACACAUUCCUGCUUGUGAUAACCAUGAUAUAUAUUUACUUGUAAUGUACACAUUAUAAACUUUUAACAUAUCGGUCUGGAGUGUGUCCAAUGACCGCAACGGAGGCCGCACCUUUAGAGGGCAAAAGUCAAUCUGGUAGGGAAUCAAAUGUUGUAAUCAUGACCAAUGCCCCUACCUUAGCACAAAUCCAAGAUAUAGUCCCGACAUUGAGACAGAAAAUAGGUGAAGCAAACUGACUGGCACAGGGAUCGAUGCCUGGAAACUGAAGAGUUGUGACAGUCAUGCCUCCUCUACACCGAAACCAGAGUUCGGCACUUGAACAGGGUCAGGCUAAACCCAAACCGAUAUCUGCUUGUAGCAUGCGGCCUAACCUCAUUGCAAGAGUGAAACACUAUGACCUGUCGGCCCAAUGAAUCCCAUCAUAUUCCUGCUAAUGAGUGGCAAAAUAGAAACUGUUAGCUAAAUAGGCACAACCAUCGACACCCGAUCGACCUUGGCGGUAACCGCCUUAUUGCCUGAAGAUCAACAAUAUCCGACUACCUUACCUGAAACUAAAUCAAUCCCAAUGCCCCAUUCCUAACUCCACUAGCCUCAUGAGUGGUGUCCCAUUACGAUAAACCCGCCCUAUUGCCAUUAUGUCUGACAUUACCAUUAUUGGUGAAUGCCGAAACUUCUGCUGAACCUAGUCGACGUAUAUAUCACCCUAUACAGUAACCCCCCCGAGCUGCGAUGGCCCCGACA